CACUGACAUUAGAUACCCCGGUAGUCCUAGCCGUAAACGAUACUCGCUAGGUGUCGGCCACGGUGCGACCGUUGUCGGUGCCGUAGGGAAGCCGUGAAGCGAGCCACCUGGGAAGUACGGCCGCAAGGCUGAAACUUAAAGGAAUUGGCGGAGGAGCACCACAACGGGUGGAGCUUGCGGUUUAAUUGGAUUCAACGCCGGAAAUCUUACCGGGACCGACAGCAACAUGAAGGCCAGGCUGAAGACUUUGCCGGAUUAGCUG
rnacentral:rRNA from 1 species